AUACGUAGGGAGCGAGCGUUGUCCGGAAUUACUGGGCGUAAAGGGCGCGUAGGCGGCGCUUCAAGUCGUCUGUCAAAUGUGAGGGCUUAACCCUUUUUCGCAGACGAAACUGGAGAGCUUGAGAAGCAGAGAGGCAAACAGAAUUCCUGGUGUAGCGGUGCAAUGCGUAGAUAUCAGGAAGAAUACCAGUGGCGAAGGCGGUUUGCUGGCUGCAUACUGACGCUGGAGCGCGAAAGCCAGGGGAGCGAACGGGAUUAGAUACCCCGGUAGUCCUGGCAGUAAACGAUGUAUGCUGGGUGUGAGACUAGCGAUAGUUUCGUGCCGAAGUUAACGCGAUAAGCAUACCGCCUGGGGAGUACGGUCGCAAGAUUGAAACUCAAAGGAAUUGACGGGG
rnacentral:rRNA from 1 species